CGCACUAUAGUUUAUAAAAAACAUUGACCUGCAAAAUCAAGGAAGGAGUACUUAAUCCUGGUGUGU
rnacentral:tRNA from 1 species